UACGGAGGAGGCAAGCGUUUAUCCGGAAUUAUUUGGGGCGUAAAGCGUCCGUAGGUGGCUCUCUCAAGUCUGCGGGUCAAAGACCGGGGCUCAACCCUGGAAAGGCCGUGGAAACCUGGUUGAGCUAGAGUGCGGUAGGGGCAGGAGGGAAUUCCCAGUGUAGCGGUGAAAUGCGUAGAGAUUGGGGAGGAACACCAGGUG
rnacentral:rRNA from 1 species